rnacentral:rRNA from 1 species
UACGUAUGGGGCGAGCGUUGUCCGGAGUUACUGGGCGUAAAGCGCUUGUAGGCGGUCCACCAAGUUUGGGGUGACAGUUGCCGACUUAAUCGGCAAAGUGCCUCAAAGACUGGCGGACUUGAGGGCCACAGAGGGACAUGGAACUCCAGGUGUAGUGGUGAAAUGCGUAGAUAUCUGGAAGAACACCAAAGGCGAAGGCAGUGUCCUGGGUGGUCGCUGACGCUGAGAGGCGAAAGCCAGGGGAGCGAACGGG